rnacentral:rRNA from 1 species
UACGAAGGGGGCUAGCGUUGUUCGGAAUUACUGGGCGUAAAGCGCACGUAGGCGGAUAUUUAAGUCAGGGGUGAAAUCCCAGAGCUCAACUCUGGAACUGCCUUUGAUACUGGGUAUCUUGAGUAUGGAAGAGGUAAGUGGAAUUGCGAGUGUAGAGGGUGAAAUUCGUAGAUAUUCGCAGGAACACCAGUGGCGAAGGCGGCUUACUGGCCAUAACU